AAAAAUUUAAAUAACUAUGUAAUUUAUGACUCCUUUCUCUCCUUAGCUCUCAGCAGCAGCCAGAGACCCAAAAGAAAUGAUAGAUUCUCCCUGUCCUGGGCCCGAGUCACAGCCUACAUCAUGUCACCUUAUGGAGAUGGUGCUUCCCCCAGCCCAGCUGUGUCAGAACACCACAGCCUUGACCAGAACUACUCAGCUAUCGUAUGUUAACCUGGACUCAAUUGCAUCCUCGGCAGAGGAUGGGAGCCUUGCUUCUCAUCUGACCAUGCUUCCAGACCAGGAGUCACACUGUCUCUCUUCAGUUCUCUACCAGUUGGACACAUCUGUAUGCAGGGCACCAGCACCGCUGUGAAUCCCUUCUCCAGUCCCAUUAUGCAUCAGAAGAUGAAGAAAGAGACCCAUCUGUGAUCCAAGCUUACUGAAUAAAAUGAUGAUCUUCUGAUCUCCAAACCAUCAGAAUGAUGUGACUAACAAGAAAGAUUGCUUCUCAAGUUGCCUGGGUCAACACAGCCUUGUCCACAACACUGAAGGAGAGAAGGGGAAGCACACGGGAGUCCAAGUGAUUACCCUCAGUCCCAACAGAAAGCCUGUGAGAGUCAGGAGCAGAAGCCAUCUCCUGAACCUCCUGAAGGCCUGAAACAUGAGAUCAGAUGUCUUCUGAGAGCACCAAACAGUAAUUCUGCACUCCCCGGCGGUACCUCUUUACUACCCACAUGUACUCUCAGUGAAUGACAAAUGAACAAGCUCCUAUUGCUCUGAAUAGCAGCAAGGUGACUGGUUGCCAGCCUGUAAAAUCUGGUAUCAUCCCUCCUGAAGUCAAAGCUUGACCUUAAGAAAAUUCUUGCCAGUUUCUCCAAGGAACAUGUCCCUGUGCUGCUGCAGAAUCCACUUUGC